GCCCGGGAGGGCUGAUCGGAGACUGGACAGACGCCAAGACAUUCAACCUCUCCGCCUGAAAUGGGAAGUAAACAAAGAGACAAACUGUGUUGUACCGUGAUCUGUGAUGUGGGUAUCCUCACCAGUUGCAGAUGUUCUUCAUGAAACUGGUCACCAAUGAGUUGGAGCUUCUGUCCAAUGCAACGGGCUACUGGCUGCUGGGGCAGCUGUUGGGGGUGCUCCAUCCCCCCUCUCACCGCCUGGGGACGCUGCUGAGGCCCCGGGUCUCCAACGCACUCAAACUGGGCCGGAAAGUGCAAUCGAAAGCCUGCGUUACCUGUAAGAAAAAGGCCAUAGAGCUGGUCAGGUUUCAGACAGACCUGGCCCAAUAAAAGCCCCACGAUGCAGCAGUGAUAAGAACCACAGGACUUGUAACAUCCCCUGAGGAACCAACCCGUCCACAAGUGCCUUGAAUAUUUGGUUUGUUUCUAUGGAAAGGGAAUCUUGGGGUUGACACUGUGACCCUCACCCAUGGAUGCUCUCCACAUCUGUCACAUACAGCUGUGGAACUAUGGAUCCCCCACUGUGUACCUGAACUGUGAACACCUCUCCCCAGGCCUAUGAAUCAAAAGCUCCCUCAAAGAAAACCUGCUUUGCUUUUGAUCUCUGGAUUCCAUUGUGAUGCGUGGCCAACUGGUCUGUUUUGAUUCAUGUAGG